AUCGCAGAUUCUUUCGGACAGGCUGAAGGAUGGGAACGAGACACAGGGACGGGUUGGCAGCGCCUCUGAGUGGAACCUGACUCAUUCUCUCAACUGGGUUCGUGCCUCCAAAGAAGGAUAAGAAGAGGAAUCAACGGCGGAGCUCGCCGUUCCAUAAGGUGAAGAAGACAGAUUGGAGGCCAAAUAGGCGAGAGAGAAGAGGAAGAAGUGACCCAGGUGAUUUCUUCGAGCUCCUUCAACUGUAGCACGCAUCAUAUCUGAGGGUUAAAG
rnacentral:lncRNA from 1 species